rnacentral:rRNA from 1 species
AUCGAACGCUGGCGGCAGGCCUAACACUUGCAAGUCGAGCGGAUGAAGGGAGCUUGCUCCUGGAUCUAGAGGCGGACGGGUGAGUAAUGCCUAGGAAUCUGCCUGGUAGUGGGGGAUAACGUCUGGAAACGGGCGCUAAUACCGCAUACGACCUGAGGGUGAAAGAGGGGGAUCUUUGGACAGCUCGCUAUCAGAUGAGCCUAGGUCGGAUUAGCUAGCUGGUGGGGUAAAGGCCUACCAAGCCGACGAUCCGUAACUGGUCUGAGAGGAUGAUCAGUCACACUGGAACUGAGACACGGUCCAGACUCCUACGGGAGGCAGCAGUGGGGAAUGUUGGACAAUGGGCGGAAGCCUGAUCCAGCCAGGCCGCGUGUGUGGAGGAGGUCUUCGGAUUGUAAAGCACUUUAAGUGGGGAGGAAGGGCAGUAAGUUAAUACCUUGCUGUUUUGACGUUACCAACAGAAUAAGCACCGGCUAACUUCGUG